UAGCUCUAAAGUUUAACUAGGUAAGAAGCUCUACAGGGAGCUGGUUAGGUCCCUUGUUAUGGUAUGGGAGGCUCUGAGAUAGGGUCUGUUAAAAGCACGCCAGUGGUGUCUGAGCAAGGCAGACAAGUGAGUAGCUCAGCAGAGAAAGGAGAAGCUUGAAAACCAAAGGAAGAGUUAAACAUAGGCCAUGGAGCAGCACACAGUUGCCUGGAGGUAGGAAGUGGCCCAGGGAAAGAAACAGCAGCACAUCUGAAGAAACACUUAACUGCCCAGUACACAGUCCUUGCACUAGAAGCUGGGGGUUACCCUACCAGCCCUGAAGAAGGGGCAUACAGGCCCAACUGAAAGAAUACUGAACCUGGGAGGUUGAAGACUGACUUUUAAAGUGGUACCCUGCCUUCGUGCAAGUGGCUCUUCACCUAGCAAAUGGAUUCUGAUUCCAGAAAGGAGCUUGGAUCACACACACACAGAGCAUCCAAGAUUACAGGCCAGACAAGCCUGCAGCGUUACACAUACAGACAGCCCAGUUCUCCACCUAUCAGCUCACCUCUCCCCCUGAGCCUCGCUGCCAAGGGGCAGCAGGGAAGGCACCUAAAUCAUGUAACGGGAGGGCAGCCUGUGAUGGCUUGGAACUGCUGUAAGUUACUCCUAUGUCGCCUUCUCUCCCUCUGCUGCCACCACAUGGGGCAUGACUGAGUCUCUUGCAUCUGAGGAUCACCACAACCCGCUGUGAAAUGUGGACAAGCCCAUCUCUGAAGACCAACACAAAACCCUUAAACAACAGAAGGUCCAGUAGACAAAAUGGCACAUCUUCAUUUUAGAUUUAACACAAGGAGCAGUGUCAGCUGGACAAACAUUGUAGCAUGGAAGAAUAACUCCUUGUGCUGCUGGAACUAAUGGGGUAAGUGGUAAGGCC